UCUUCUUCUCUGAUGGAAACUACCGGUUGCUAAGAGCUUUGACUGGUGAGACAAGGGUUCCAUCCUUAGUAAUAAUCAAUCCCAUUUCACAGCAGCAUUAUGUUCCUGAGCAGAAGAAUUUCAGCUAUUCUGCACUGGAGGAUUCUCUUCAUAGAUUUCUCAACGGAAUGCUUAUCCCAUACCAACGCUCCGAGUCUGAACCUGAAAGCCC
rnacentral:misc_RNA from 1 species